UACGGAGGGUGCAAGCGUUAAUCGGAAUUACUGGGCGUAAAGCGCGCGUAGGCGGCUUGGUCAGUUGGAUGUGAAAGCCCCGGGCUCAACCUGGGAACUGCAUCCAAUACUGCCAGGCUAGAGUACGAGAGAGGGGGGUAGAAUUUCUAGUGUAGCGGUGAAAUGCGUAGAUAUUAGAAGGAAUACCAGUGGCGAAGGCGGCCCCCUGGUUCGAUACUGACGCUGAGGUGCGAAAGCGUGGGGAGCAAACAGG
rnacentral:rRNA from 1 species